CCACCUUACCUUACCCCCCCCGUUGGUUUGGUCGGUCCCUUUGGUCCCCUCCCCCGAACGACCUUACCCGUAGGGACCGAACGGACUUACAAUACGGACCCGUACCCGUAGAAGGGAGGGGUUAGAAGUUCCCGGGCCCAACCUACCGGUAGGGGGUAACCUUAGGAACGAACCGAACCCGGGCCCGUCCGGUACCGAACCGGAACGGGGACGGACGACGACUAGGGGUAGGGGUUUAACGUUUUUCCCGACUAAGGUCGGGAACGAAACCGCCGUACGGAACGGGACGACAACGGACCGCGGUGGGGAAAGAAGGCUCUUGGGUUGUAAACCCCUUUUCUCUGGGAAGAAAGUUGUGAAAGCAACCUGACGGUACCAGAGGAAUCAGCAUCGGCUAACUCCGUGCCAGCAGCCGCGGUAAGACGGAGGAUGCAAGCGUUAUCCGGAAUGUAUUGGGCGUAAAGCGUCCGCAGGUGGCAGUUCAAG
rnacentral:rRNA from 1 species